GUCUCUAUGGCUCAGUCGGUAGAGCGUUGGUCUCAUAUUCCUCAUCAAUAUGACCCUGCCUUCAGGUCGGGACAUCCAAAGGUCGCAAGUUCGAGCCUUGCUAGGGACA
rnacentral:tRNA from 1 species